GCAUCGGUGGUUCAGUGGUAGAAUGCGCGCCGUUCCGCGGGUGGGCCCGGUCGAUUCCGGCCGAUGUA